rnacentral:rRNA from 1 species
UACGAAGGGGGCUAGCGUUGCUCGGAAUCACUGGACGUAAAGCGCACGUAGGCGGCUUUCUAAGUCAGGGGUGAAAUCCUGGAGCUCAACUCCAGAACUGCCUUUGAUACUGGGAAGCUUGAGUCCGGAAGAGGUGAGUGGAACUCCGAGUGUAGAGGUGAAAUUCGUAGAUAUUCGGAAGAACACCAGUGGCGAAGGCGGCUCACUGGUCCGGUACUGACGCUGAGGUGCGAAAGCGUGGGGAGCAAACAGG